AGCGAACGCUGGCGGCAGGCCUAACACAUGCAAGUCGAACGAACCCUUCGGGGUUAGUGGCGGACGGGUGAGUAACACGUGGGAACGUGCCUUUAGGUUCGGAAUAACUCAGGGAAACUUGUGCUAAUACCGAAUGUGCCCUUCGGGGGAAAGAUUUAUCGCCGUUAGAGCGGCCCGCGUCUGAUUAGCUAGUUGGUGAGGUAAUGGCUCACCAAGGGUACGAUCAGUAGCUGGUCUGAGAGGAUGACCAGCCCCAUUGGGACUGAGACACGGCCCAAACUCCUACGGGAGGCAGCAGUGGGGAAUCUUGCGCAAUGGGCGAAAGCCUGACGCAGCCAUGCCGCGUGGAUGAUGAAGGUCUUAGGAUUGUAAAAUCCUUUCACCGGUGAAGAUAAUGACUGUAGCCGGAGAAGAAGCCCCGGCUAACUUCGUGCCAGCCGCCGCCGUAAGAC
rnacentral:rRNA from 1 species